rnacentral:rRNA from 1 species
GACGAACGCUGGCGGCGUGCUAACACAUGCAAGUCGAGCGGAAAGGCCCUUCGGGGUACUCGAGCGGCGAACGGGUGAGUAACACGUGAGUAAUCUGCCCCAGGCUCUGGGAUAGCCACCGGAAACGGUGAUUAAUACCGGAUACGACAACUUCCUGCAUGGGAUGGUUGUGGAAAGUUUUUCGGCCUGGGAUGUGCUCGCGGCCUAUCAGCUUGUUGGUGAGGUAAUGGCUCACCAAGGCUUCGACGGGUAGCCGGCCUGAGAGGGUGACCGGCCACACUGGGACUGAGACACGGCCCAGACUCCUACGGGAGGCAGCAGUGGGGAAUAUUGGACAAUGGGCGGAAGCCUGAUCCAGCAACGCCGCGUGAGGGAUGACGGCCUUCGGGUUGUAAACCUCUUUCAGCACAGACGAAGCGCAAGUGACGGUAUGUGCAGAAAAAGGACCGGCUAACUACGUGCCAGCCGCCGCGGUAAGAC